rnacentral:lncRNA from 1 species
UGAAACUCUUGAACAAGAGAGGCAAAGGCAGAAGCAAAUCGAAAAAAAGAGAAGAAGAAUGACAGAUCUGGAAGCUAACGACAUUAAAGACAAUGAUAGAUGCGAUAUAGAGCAGUAACAAUGGAGGAUUUGGGCGUCAACAAAGGUAGAUACAACAAGAAGUAGAAGAGGCAGAGGAAUAGGCCAAGAAGAAGAAGAAGAAUAAAAAAGAGAUUAGGAAAAUAGACAAAAAGAUGAAGAGGAGGAAGAGAAAAAUAUGUAGCUAUUCUGGAAGAGAAAUAGACCAUGAUGAAGAGAAAGAGAAAGAUGGAGGUGAAGAGAUGGAGGAGUUCAGAUUUACUGGGAAAGAUGAAGUGGAAGGAGAUGAAGUAGGAUGGAGGGUAAUGUUAGAAAUUUUAUAAAAUUAGUAAUAGUGAAAUUGUCUAAAAAAUGAUAUAAUUUGUGUCCACCUUUAAAAAUUCAAAGAUACAAAAUAUACGUAUUCUAUGUAUUCUUGUGUGUAACCGCGUUUCUCACUUUUUUGUGUCUUAUACAACAAACAUUGGAC